AAACAUUUUACGCAUCACAUAUUUCAUAUGGUUUACAUCACCAUAAUCAAUGCUGUUUGUACACUUAUAUGGUACAUUGCUGUUUUAUGUGUCUUUUUUUUGGUUGUUGGCUGUACUAACAUUCUAUCAAUACAAUGUAUCUACCUUCUGUUUCUUGCAGUAGAUUAGUAUAGCAUGGCCCUCUCAUCUCGUGACCGCUGCAUGCUUGUUAUAAUACUGGAGUCAGUGCACAAGUAACCUCCCUUUAUAAGAGUUAGCUCCCCUAGACAGUGAUGAAUUUUCUCCCAUGUAUAGUAUGGCCCUCUCAUCUCAUGAUAGCUGCAUGCUUG
rnacentral:lncRNA from 1 species